rnacentral:tRNA from 1 species
GACAACGUGGCCGAGUGGUUAAGGCGGUGGCCUGCUAAGCCAUUGGGUUCUGCCCGCGCAGGUUCGAAUCCUGCCGUUGUCGGCA